rnacentral:lncRNA from 7 species
AAUCUUUCUAAUUCUAUUCUCAUAAGAUGAUCUUGGAUUUGUUCCUUUAGCACAGACUCUUUAGUGCAGUCCUGAUUUCUGCAUUAAUGAAUUGAGAAGAUGACAUCAGGCUCUUAGUUUGGAGGGAGAAUGGGAAGAAGACUGAAGGGGGGCUGGAGCCUGUUAAGGAAAUUUUGUGACAACAGUCACCACCUGAAGGAGACAGAAACAAUGAAGGGCUUUCUGACAAGGCAAUAUUUGUACAUGAAAAGACCUAAUUUCACCCUUGCAAGAAAUGGACUCAUUACAAUGGGAAAUAUACUAAUGAGAGCAGACACUGAUUCAGACAGUGAAGCAGGGAAUCAGUGAUUUGCACAUCUCCGACUGUGCUCCGCCCCUGAGAGAAGAAUGCAUACUUGCUCAACUCUUCCCAUAAAAUGAUCAACUGGGGAUAUAGUGACACUGAAGUCAUAAAUGGAUACAAAGGGUAUCCAUAGUGCACUUUAGGAGAAAGAUUUCAUAACACCAAGAAAUGCUAUCAGUUUGUAUUUAUGAUUCAGGCCAGGCUGGAUUGGGCCCUGAGCAGCCUGAUCUAGUGGGUGGAAACCUGCCCAUCACAAGGGGUUGGAAUAGAUGAUCUUAAAAAUCCCUUCCAACUGAAGCCUUUAUGUGAUUUAGUACAUCUGUUCAUGAAAAUUUAACUGUUAUAUCAGUGGUGUAAAUACUUGAACUUCAUUCAAAAGAAACAAGCCAUCAAAAACUAAAAUGGCAACAGAACUCCAGCAAUAUCCGCACUAACCUAGACCAUCAUGCGUACAUGCCUCAGAGCUUAGAACUCUUUAGAACCAUGGCUCAUAUUUAAAAACUAUCUGCUGCUGUGAUUACCAGAUAUAUUGAAUUAAAACUGUAUUCAGACUAAC